rnacentral:rRNA from 1 species
CCUACGGGAGGCAGCAGUAAGGAAUAUUGGUCAAUGGAGGCAACUCUGAACCAGCCAUGCCGCGUGCAGGAUGACGGCCCUAUGGGUUGUAAACUGCUUUUAUACAAGAGAAAACCCUGGUACGUGUACCAGGUUGAUAGUAUUGUAAGAAUAAGCAUCGGCUAACUUCGUGCCAGCAGCCGCGGUAAGACGAAGGAUGCAAGCGUUAUCCGGAUUCAUUGGGUUUAAAGGGUGCGUAGGCGGACUGAUAAGUCAGUGGUGAAAUCUCUUUGCUUAACAAAGAAACUGCCAUUGAUACUGUCGGUCUAGAGUAUAGAUGACGUUGGCGGAAUAUGACAUGUAGUGGUGAAAUACUUAGAUAUGUCAUAGAACACCGAUUGCGAAGGCAGCUAACGAAACUAUAACUGACGCUGAGGCACGAAAGUGCGGGGAUCAAACAGGAUUAGAUACCCUGGUAGUCCGCACCGUAAACGAUGAUUACUCGUUGUUGGCGAUAUGACAGUCAGCGACCAAGCGAAAGCGAUAAGUAAUCCACCUUGGGGAGUACGCCGGCAACGGUUGAACGUUCAAAUUGAAUUGACGG